GCAAACUCUGUGCCAGCAGCCGCGGUAAUACAGAGGGUGCGAGCGUUAAUCGGAAUUACUGGGCGUAAAGGGCGCGUAGGCGGUUAGGUGAGUGUGAUGUGAAAGCCCUGGGCUUAACCUGGGAAGUGCAUCGCAAACGAUUUAACUGGAGUACAAGAGAGGGUGGCGGAAUUUCCGGUGUAGCGGUGAAAUGCGUAGAGAUCGGAAGGAACGUCAAUGGCGAAGGCAGCCACCUGGCUUGAUACUGACGCUGAGGCGCGAGAGCGUGGGGAGCGAACAGGAUUAGAUACCCCUGUAGUC
rnacentral:rRNA from 1 species